GAAGCCAACAAGAAACCAAGCCUUCCUGUGAGUUAGCACUACGUGUGGCCCACUGCAGGGGAGAGCUAGAGGCCAGAUCUUUCCUGUGAGUCAGUACCAGCUGUGGACUGUGAGGGAGGAGAAUAAGAAGCCAACAAGAAGUCAAGCCCUCCCUGUGAGUCAGCACCAUGCACAAGCUGCUGGAGAGAGACCCAGAUGCCAUCCCGGAACAGGGCACAGGCUGGCAGACAAGAAGAGCCAAGAUGUGACCCUCACUCCCUCCACCAGUCCCCCACAGUUCUAUCAUAUGGUUAUCUGACUGGGAAUGGCAGACGAACCUGGGGCUUUCCCAGUUUGAGUCCCCUGCUGUUCAGGACCAGUACUGGACUACAUCCUGCAUUAAUUCCUCACUUCUACACUCGAGAGCUGUAAACUUGUCACUGCUGGUUUGCAAACAACACCCACCCAAUUUACCACAGGUAAGGAACCCCCCAGAGAUUGCCA
rnacentral:lncRNA from 1 species